rnacentral:rRNA from 1 species
CCUAGUGACCGAUAGUGAACCAGUACCGUGAGGGAAAGGUGAAAAGCACCCCGGAAGGGGAGUGAAACAGUUCCUGAAACCGUGUGCCUACAAGUAGUUAGAGCCCGUUAAUGGGUGAUAGCGUGCCUUUUGUAGAAUGAACCGGCGAGUUACGAUUUGUUGCAAGGUUAAGCGGAAAAAGCGGAGCCGUAGCGAAAGCGAGUCUGAAUAGGGCGCAUAAGUAACAGGUCGUAGACCCGAAACCAGGUGAUCUACCCAUGUCCAGGAUGAAGGUAAGGUAAUACUUACUGGAGGUCCGAACCCACGCACGUUGAAAAGUGCGGGGAUGAGGUGUGGGUAGCGGAGAAAUUCCAAUCGAACUUGGAGAUAGCUGGUUCUCUCCGAAAUAGCUUUAGGGCUAGCCUCGAGGUAAAGAGUCAUGGAGGUAGAGCACUGUUUGGACUAGGGGCCCUUCUCGGGUUACCGAAUUCAGAUAAACUCCGAAUGCCAUGUACUUAUACUCGGGAGUCAGACUGCGAGUGAUAAGAUCCGUAGUCGAAAGGGAAACAGCCCAGACCACCAGUUAAGGUCCCCAAAUAUAUGUUAAGUGGAAAAGGAUGUGGGGUUGCUUAGACAACCAGGAUGUUGGCUUAGAAGCAGCCACCAUUGAAAGAGUGCGUAAUAGCUCACUGGUCGAGUGACCCCGCGCCGAAAAUGUACCGGGGCUAAACAUAUUACCGAAACUGUGGAUGAACCUCUUUAGAGGUUCGUGGUAGGAGAGCGUUCUAAGGGCGGUGAAGUCAGACCGGAAGGACUGGUGGAGCGCUUAGAAGUGAGAAUGCCGGUAUGAGUAGCGAAAGAAGGGUGAGAAUCCCUUCCACCGAAUAUCUAAGGUUUCCUGAGGAAGGCUCGUCCGCUCAGGGUUAGUCGGGACCUAAGCCGAGGCCGAUAGGCGUAGGCGAUGGACAACAGGUAGAGAUUCCUGUACCAGUGCUAAUUGUUUAACCGAUGGGGUGACACAGAAGGAUAGGGAAUCGCACGAAUGGAAAUGUGCGUCCAAGCAGUGAGUGUGAGAAGUAGGCAAAUCCGCUUCUCGCGAAGCAUGAGCUGUGAUGGGGAAGGAAAUUAAGUACGGAAGUUCCUGAUUUCACGCUGUCAAGAAAAGCCUCUAGGAAGAGUAGUACUGCCCGUACCGCAAACCGACACAGGUAGAUGAGGAGAGAAUCCUAAGGUGAGCGAGAGAACUCUCGUUAAGGAACUCGGCAAAAUGACCCCGUAACUUCGGGAGAAGGGGUGCUCUAUUAGGGUGCAAGCCCGAGAGAGCCGCAGUGAAUAGGCCCAGGCGACUGUUUAGCAAAAACACAGGUCUCUGCAAAACCGUAAGGUGACGUAUAGGGGCUGACGCCUGCCCGGUGCUGGAAGGUUAAGAGGAGUGCUUAGCUUCGGCGAAGGUACGAAUUGAAGCCCCAGUAAACGGCGGCCGUAACUAUAACGGUCCUAAGGUAGCGAAAUUCCUUGUCGGGUAAGUUCCGACCCGCACGAAAGGCGCAACGAUCUGGGCACUGUCUCAACGAGAGACUCGGUGAAAUUAUAGUACCUGUGAAGAUGCAGGUUACCCGCGACAGGACGGAAAGACCCCGUGGAGCUUUACUGCAACCUGAUAUGGAAUGUUUGUACCGCUUGUACAGGAUAGGUAGGAGCCGAAGAGACGUGUGCGCUAGCAUACGAGGAGGCAAUGGUGGGAUACUACCCUGGCUGUAUGACCAUUCUAACCCGCCACGCUUAGCGCGUGGGGAGACAGUGUCAGGUGGGCAGUUUGACUGGGGCGGUCGCCUCCUAAAGAGUAACGGAGGCGCCCAAAGGUUCCCUCAGAAUGGAUGGAAAUCAUUCGCAGAGUGUAAAGGCACAAGGGAGCUUGACUGCGAGACUGACAAGUCGAGCAGGGACGAAAGUCGGGCUUAGUGAUCCGGUGGUUCCGCAUGGAAGGGCCAUCGCUCAACGGAUAAAAGCUACCCCGGGGAUAACAGGCUUAUCUCCCCCAAGAGUCCACAUCGACGGGGAGGUUUGGCACCUCGAUGUCGGCUCGUCGCAUCCUGGGGCUGUAGUCGGUCCCAAGGGUUGGGCUGUUCGCCCAUUAAAGCGGCACGCGAGCUGGGUUCAGAACGUCGUGAGACAGUUCGGUCCCUAUCCGUCGCGGGCGCAGGAAAUUUGAGAGGAGCUGUCCUUAGUACGAGAGGACCGGGAUGGACACACCGCUGGUGUACCAGUUGUUCCGCCAGGAGCAUCGCUGGGUAGCUAUGUGUGGCAGGGAUAAACGCUGAAAGCAUCUAAGCGUGAAGCCCCCCUCAAGAUGAGAUUUCCCAUUUCUUCGGAAAGUAAGAUCCCUGAAAGAUGAUCAGGUAGAUAGGUUUGGAGUGGAAGUGUAGCGAUACAUGGAGCGGACAAAUACUAAUCGAUCGAGGACUUAACCAAAA